rnacentral:rRNA from 1 species
UACGUAGGGUGCGAGCGUUGUCCGGAAUUAUUGGGCGUAAAGAGCUCGUAGGCGGCUUGUCGCGUCGACUGUGAAAACCCGCGGCUCAACCGUGUGGUCUGCAGUCGAUACGGGCAGGCUAGAGUUCGGUAGGGGAGACUGGAAUUCCUGGUGUAGCGGUGAAAUGCGCAGAUAUCAGGAAGAACACCCGUGGCGAAGGCGGCUCUCUGGGACGGUACUGACGCUGAGACGCGAAAGCGUGGGGAGCGAACAGG